GAUGAACGCUGGCGGCGUGCUUAACACAUGCAAGUCGAACGAAGCACCUUGAUUUGAUUCUUCGGAUGAAGAUCUUGGUGACUGAGUGGCGGACGGGUGAGUAACGCGUGGGUAACCUGCCUCAUACAGGGGGAUAACAGUUAGAAAUGACUGCUAAUACCGCAUAAGACCACAGCACCGCAUGGUGCAGGGGUAAAAACUCCGGUGGUAUGAGAUGGACCCGCGUCUGAUUAGGUAGUUGGUGGGGUAACGGCCUACCAAGCCGACGAUCAGUAGCCGACCUGGAGGGGGGACCGGCCCAUUUGGGACGGGGACACGCCCCAACUCCUACGGGAGGCAGCAGUGGGGAAUAUUGCACAAUGGGGGAAACCCUGAUGCAGCGACGCCGCGUGAGCGAUGAAGUAUUUCGGUAUGUAAAGCUCUAUCAGCAGGGAAGAAAAUGACGGUACCUGACUAAGAAGCACCGGCUAAAUACGUG
rnacentral:rRNA from 1 species